rnacentral:rRNA from 1 species
CACGUAGGGCGCAAGCGUUGUCCGGAAUUAUUGGGCGUAAAGAGCUCGUAGGUGGUUUGUUACGUCCGCUGUGAAAUCCUAGGGCUUAACCCUGGGCUUGCAGUGGAUACGGGCAGACUAGAGGUAGGUAGGGGAGAAUGGAAUUCCUGGUGUAGCGGUGAAAUGCGCAGAUAUCAGGAGGAACACCUAUAGCGAAGGCAGCUUGCUGGGACGUUACUGACGCUAAGGCGCGAAAGCGUGGGGAGCAAACAGG